CCUCACAACAUAAGACUUAAGUUAAGUAAACUCUCUGCCUUCAAAGCAGUUAAUAGGUGAUAGUUCCGCCUAGUCUUAC
rnacentral:tRNA from 1 species